rnacentral:rRNA from 1 species
UACGGGGGGGGGCAAGCGUUGUUCGGAAUUACUGGGCGUAAAGGGCUCGUAGGCGGCCAACUAAGUCAGACGUGAAAUCCCUCGGCUUAACCGGGGGAACUGCGUCUGAUACUGGAUGGCUUGAGGUUGGGAGAGGGAUGCGGAAUUCCAGGUGUAGCGGUGAAAUGCGUAGAUAUCUGGAGGAACACCGGUGGCGAAGGCGACUCUUUGGCCUGUAACUGACGCUGAGGCGCGAAAAGCGUGGGGGAGCAAACAGG